AUACGGAGGGUCCAAGCGUUAUCCGGAUUCAUGGGGUUUAAAGGGUCCGCAGGCGGGAAAAUAAGUCAGUGGUGAAAGCCUACAGCUCAACUGUAGAACUGCCAUUGAUACUGUUUUUCUUGAGUAUAGAUGAAGUGGGCGGAAUAUAUCAUGUAGCGGUGAAAUGCAUAGAUAUGAUAUAGAACACCGAUUGCGAAGGCAGCUCACUAAACUAUUACUGACGCUCAGGGACGAAAGCGUGGGGAGCGAACAGGAUUAGAAACCCUAGUAGUCC
rnacentral:rRNA from 1 species